CUUCAUCCCUGCUGCAGCAUGAACGAAGGCAAACAUGGAAGCGAAUGAUCAUCAAUCACCACUGAUUCUACCCCUCAGUAGUGCUUGUCUCUGUGAGCAGCCCCUCCACAGGUUUUCUUUGAUUGCUCCUCAGAAGCUUUGAUUCUCCUCCUAAUUGUUGGUGUAAGAAGAGAAAGUGCCAGAUAUGGAAUCCAGAGGAGAAUGAACAACAAGGAAUCUUCACGGAUGGACACACACCACGCUGCUCCACUGUUUCAGGCAGUGACCCACCAGUGUAUGUCACUCGGGGAAGAAG